rnacentral:ncRNA from 2 species
UAAUUCAGUUGCGCCAAUUUGAUAUUCAGCUUGCGGGCGCGUUAUAAAUUCAGCUAAAGCGGUCGGGACAAGCCCGCU